GCUUCCUGAAAAAAAGCAGCAAACACCAAGAGUUUAAAAAACCAUCAGGAAUUUAUAGCAAUACCAAUGUAGCUGAACCUCCACCACUAUUCUUAUCUCCUGGUAACAAGUCUUCUUCAUGCAGUAGGCCUUCAUAAAUGUUAUUGACUGAAUGACUGACUGCUAUCCAGAUAGUUCUGGGUGUGUCGUAACAGGUCAGCAACUGCAGUGGGAUGAUGGGCAACAUUAUUUUGCAAUGCUCUCCCUUUCAGACUUAAUUUUCACCAGUGUUGGGGAGGCAUUUCAUGAGCAGGAGUGCUCAUUCUCAGGUCAGACGAGGAUUUCACUGAUCGGCCACUCACUGUGCUGCUGCUGAACAAGCUGAUGUCGUUGUGUUACUUGAAUGUUUACAAAGGAGACAGAGUGCUUCAGACUCACAGAAACACAUACAGGAAAUCCUAAAGCUGGGCCUUACCUUCCCAAGUUGCUGCUCCGUGAGGGAAAACGCGUCCAUGAAUGCCUGGGCGAUCACUGACAGACAGCCGUCUAUGUGUGGUGUCUUCUUAAUGUCAAAGACAAACUGAGGGUUCUUCAGGAUGUUUACCCAGAAGCGAAGAGGAAGGCUGUUCCGAGAGAGAGAGAGAAAGACCUCUUUUCAAGUACAGCCUUUCAUGUGAGGCAGAUGCUGUGUUUAUCACAGUUUGUAAAUGGGUGUUUCUGUGCUUGUUACUGAAGUAUGCAAGUCUGCCUUGCCAAAUAUACCAAGCAACAGAUGGCAGCGUCACUCAGAACAAGAAAGGGUUAAACUGUCAAAGAGUUCCUGAAAGGGAGGCCUGGAGAAGUCUGAAACUGGCCACUGACAAAACAAGAAUUUUCUCCACCAGAAAUUUGUCGAUUAUAUUAGAUAAUGGUUACCAGUGAGAAUAUCUCAUCGGACCUCUUCUCACCCCCUCUAAGUGCUACACCCUGGCCUAAGCCACCAUCAUCUCUCACCAGGAUUAUUACCCGCCAGCUCCCAACAGUUAAUUCUUCCACAAGGACCAGCAACCCUCUGAAGACAGAAUCAGGUCCUUGUCUUUCCACUGCAGCUCUCCAUCCCCCUGGAGAAAGCCCUGCAUGAUCUAGGCCUGGUCCUCAUCGACUGCACUUCACCUUAUGCACCCCAGCUCCACCAGGCAAGCUUGUGCCACAGGGCUUCAUCCGUUUUCUUGAAACUGUCUUGCCCCAGACAGUCUCAAGGUUAAUGCCUCUUUUCAAGACCUGACUCAAAUAUGUCCACCAGACCUCUGACCACCCUGUCCUAUUAGUCUGUUUUUUCCUCAUUCUCUGCAUUAAUAUUGCCUUCUGAUAUACAAUUUAUCUAUUAAAAUACCACCUCUGUGA